UAUAUACUAUGUUUCAUUUAUGAAGAAAUUGAUUUUCUUUUGGGAGUCACUUUUGAUCUGUAAUUUUAAAAUACAAGUCUGAAUAUUUGUAGUUGAUUCUUAACUGUGCAUAAACCUAGAUAUACCAUUAUCCCUUUUAUACCUAAGAAGGGCAUGCUAAUAAUUACCACUGUCAAAGAGGCAAAGGUGUUGAUUUUUGUAUAUGAAGUUAAGCCUCAGCAGAG
rnacentral:lncRNA from 1 species